rnacentral:rRNA from 1 species
AUUAGAUACCCUGGUAGUCCACGCCGCUAAACUAUGGAUGCUAGCUGUUAUUCGUAUCGACCCGAGUAGUAGCGAAGCUAACGCGUUAAGCAUCCCGCCUGUGGAGUACGGUCGCAAGACUAAAACAUAAAGGAAUUGACGGGGACCCGCACAAGCGGUGGAGCGUGUUGUUUAAUUCGAUGGUAAGCGAAGAACCUUACCCAGACUUGACAUCCUUGGAAGCACUGCGAAAGCAGAGUGUGCCUCCGGGAACCAAGUGACAGGUGUUGCAUGGCCGUCGUCAGCUCGUGUCGUGAGAUGUUUGGUUAAGUCCAUCAACGAGCGCAACCCUUGUGGCUAGUUGAAUUUUUCUAGUCAGACUGCCCUGGUAACAGGGAGGAAGGAGGGGAUGAUGUCAGGUCAGUAUUACCCUUACGUCUGGGGCUACAAACACGCUACAAUGGCCGGUACAAAGGGCUGCCAAGUCGCGAGACGGAGCAAAUCCCAUCAAAACCGGUCCCAGUUCGGAUUGCAGGCUGAAACUCGCCUGCAUGAAGUCGGAAUCGCUAGUAACGGUAGGUCAGCACACUACCGUGAAUACGUUCCCGGGUCUUGUACACACCGCCCGUCAAACCAUGAAAGUCGCCAAUACCUGACGUCUUAGCUAGUCUAGGCCUAAGGUAGGGGAGAUGAUUGGGGUUAAGUCGUAACAAGGUAAC